CAAUAGCGUAUAUUAAAGUUGUUGCGGUUAAAAAGCUCGUAGUUGGAUUUCUGCCGAGGACGACCGGUCCGCCCUCUGGGUGAGUAUCUGGCUCGGCCUGGGCAUCUUCUUGGAGAACGUAGCUGCACUUGACUGUGUGGUGCGGUAUCCAGGACUUUUACUUUGAGGAAAUUAGAGUGUUUCAAGCAGGCUUACGCCUUGAAUACAUUAGCAUGGAAUAAUAAGAUAGGACUUCGGUUCUAUUUUGUUGGUUUCUAGAGCUGAGGUAAUGAUUAAUAGGGAUAGUUGGGGGCAUUCGUAUUUAACUGUCAGAGGUGAAAUUCUUGGAUUUGUUGAAGACGGACUACUGCGAAAGCAUUUGCCAAGGAUGUUUUCAUUGA
rnacentral:rRNA from 1 species